rnacentral:tRNA from 1 species
GUUUGGUUUUGGUUCAGUGGUAGAAUGCUCGCCUGCCACGCGGGCGGCCCCGGGUUCGAUUCCCGGUCGAUGCA